GAUGAACGCUGGCGGCGUGCCUAAUACAUGCAAGUCGAACGCUGGAGAUCUAGCUUGCUAGAUCGAAGGAGUGGCGAACGGGUGAGUAAUACAUAAGCAACCUACCCACGAAGACUGGGAUAAUCUCUGGAAACGGGGACUAAUACCGGAUAGGUAAUCGGAAGGCAUCUUCUGGUUAUUAAAGGUUAAAAACACUGGUGGAUGGGCUUAUGGCGCAUUAGUUAGUUGGUGAGGUAACGGCCCACCAAGACGAUGAUGCGUAGCCGGCCUGAGAGGGUGAACGGCCACAUUGGGACUGAGACACGGCCCAGACUCCUACGGGAGGCAGCAGUAGGGAAUUUUCGGCAAUGGGGGCAACCCUGACCGAGCAACGCCGCGUGAGUGAAGACGGCCUUCGGGUUGUAAAGCUCUGUUGUAAGGGAAGAACGGUAGAUAGAGAAUAUCUAAGUGACGGUACCUGACCAGAAAGCCACGGCUAACUACGUG
rnacentral:rRNA from 1 species